AAAGGAGUGGAAACGGAAAUAGGCAAUGUAGGAGACCAUCAAGCCACUGACUCUCUCACUCUUCUCUGCAGUCUUUCCUAGAGACCGACUGCAUCAUGAGAGCUAAGUGGCGUAAGAAGCGUAUGCGUAGGCUUAAGCGUAAGCGCAGGAAGAUGCGUGCUCGCUCCAAGUAAAUCCAUUCUCAACCACUCGCAGUCACAUGGAAGCAAAUGGCAGUCUGAUUCUUAGGUAAUUCUGGGUCAGCUGUCAUCUAAAACCAGAAAACUAAUUACCACCACGAGUUCCCACUUGGACAAAAGCUGCUGAAAUUUGGCUGUAAAAAAAAUUACCUCUUGUGAAAUGUCAUUCGUAUUUGUACCAUGUGCAUCAAUAUAGAUUCGCCUUUUCACAAGAA